CUCAGUGUGAGCUCACUUCUGUCUGUGUUUGAUUUCAUCAGGAGGAAGCUGCUCGGAAGAAAAGGCAGGAAGAAAAUAAUCUGGGUGAUGGUGGACUGAAGCGACUGAGUGAGGCUCUGCUGAAACCGAAGUUUAAAAUACAGGUUCUGGAGCUGCAGGACCGUAAUCUGGGAGAUUGCGGAGUGAAGCAACUGUGUGAGGAUUUGAGGAAACUGGAGUGCAAAAUACCGACGCUAUGGGUGAGGGACAUAGAUCUGACAACUGAUAGCACGGAGGAAAUGUCCUGCGAUCUCAGAAUAAACCAAAAACUGACGGAGCUGAACUUGAAUUAUAAGAAUCUGGGAGUUCGUGGAGUGAAGCGACUGUGUGAGGCUCUGAGGAAACCGAAGUGUAAAAUA